rnacentral:piRNA from 1 species
UCUGAAGGUUUUUUAUGCUCC